GAGGGAGAGAAGGAAGGAAAGAAGGAAAGAAGAGAGGCAGGAAGGCCAGUCAGCCCUAAUACUGCUAGCUAAUUCCUAUGGUGUCAAUGCUUCCCUCAGAGUGGAUCUUAAGCCACCAGUGUGAGAUUCUUGGAUGGGCCCUGACAGAGAUGUGAAAACCAGGAACCAGCUCCACAUCCCCGGGGCCGUGGAAACUCUCCACCUCUCUACACGCACACAGCAAGGCCUUCUGGGAUUCCUAUGGCACUGUCAAGGCUGGAGGCAGGGUGGACUGAGGAUCAAGACCUGGAUAAACUCGUCACAGUGGACUUAGAGAUAGUGUUGGGGACAUCAGACCUGCCCUUCCUUCCUGAGAACAGGUGGUUCUACCAGGUGAAGAGUACCCACUGCUGCCAUCCUGGCUAGAACCCUGAGAAUCAGCUCUGAACCUGACCAGUCAGCUCUCAGGCCGUGGAGUCUGGUCCUCUCUCCACACCCACAGCUUUUAGUUUGUCCUUCAUCCUUCUUUUGAAAACUCCAGCCUCAGGACCAGGCCAUCUGUGCCCUAUGCCACACCCCCCCCUCAAGUAUCUUCAGUGGACAUCAAAAGGUUUCUCCCAACCCCCAGGAUUUCUUGAGAGUCUGGAAAGAAGAACACGAGGCCUUGGGGGCAGCAUUCAAAGCCUUCCACACUACCCCCACCAUCUCUAGUCAUCUCUGUCUAAACCUGCUCUGUUCAGCAUGACAGCCAUCAGCUCUGUGUGGCUAUUUACACUGCAAUGGGUCAAAAUGAAAUGAAGUGGAAAAUUCAAUUUCUUGGCUGUACUAGUCUCGUCUCAUCUCAAGGACUCAAUAUCCACUUAGGACUGGCAGCUAUAGCGCCAGGCAACACAGAUGCAGAACUCUCCAGUGUUCCAGAAAGUUCUAUUGGGCAGCAUGAAGCAUUGUGCGGGGCUUGCCUCCCUGCCUUGCUCAAUGUGGCCUCUGUUCAGGGUACUCAUAUGACUCAGAGGUCACCUGUCCUGAGAGCCCAGCUCCCCAGCUCUCCCCUGCGGUCGGACAUUCCUCUGUGCAGGGCCCAGCCUUGCACUGUGGUGGCAAAUGCACCCCCCCCCCCCCCUUAGAGAUAGGGUCUCAGAUAGCCCGGGUUAGCCUGGAGCAGAGAAUAACCUUGGACUUCUCAUCCUCCUGUAGGUGUGUAACACCACACCCAAACUAAGUGAUGCUGGGAAUCGAACCCAGAGCUUCAGGCAUGCUAGGCGAGCAUCCUAUUAACUGAGCCAGAAUUCCAAGCUCCACACACUGUCAGUCUUUCUUACUAGAUCUUGGGCUCUUGAGGGCAGGGACCAUGCCCUGGAGCUGUUCCCAUCCUCAGUACCUAGGACAGGGCCAGGCAUGCCUAACUUCUGACUUUGGCCAGGUGAACUUGCCCAGAGACCAGGACCUUGGAAUGGUCUGAGUUCCCCGAUGCUGGGAUGGGAGGAGCCAGCUGUGACAUUGACAGGAGAUACAGAGAUAGGGAGAACAGCCUAGAAGGACCCAGCGCUGGGACCAAUAUACAGCCCUGGAAACAGCUGGCCCCAAACCCUGGAGCGCACAGGGUGGGUGCAGGGCAUAGAAGGACCCGAGUUUCAUUUCUCACUCCUCCGUCUUCUCCAGCCCAGGAUCAGAUAGUUUUGGGUGAGAAAGUUGGCUCAGUCACCAACUAGCUUGUGUCUCACCACGGUGUCAUCUAACCUCUCUGAGCCCCAGGGCCUUCAUCUGCAAAAUGGGGAUAAAUCCUAGGUCCUACGGAGGGGAGUCCAAAGUGAUGUAUGAUGUAUUUAAACCUCUGGAACACAUAACCUGGCACUCACAGGGUGCCUGGGAUGCUGUCACUGUGUCCCAUCUGAGGCUCCUGCCACUGCUUCAUGUUCUGGUUCCAUGCUGUGCCCAGGCAGCCCCUCCCUGCUUCCUGAGAUGGCAGAAGCAGGAAGGGGUGGGAGGGACCAUCUGCUCCAACCCCUGCCAUUGCCAGGACGGGAAGCAAAUCUAAGGGAAGGGACUGACUGGCCCAUGGCCAUACAGCUUGCCAGGGGAGAGUAAGCCAGAGAACACACUCUUAGUUGAGAGGCCAGUUAGCAAACAGGAAACUGUCAAUAAACUCCUAGGUGACAGAGCAGCCACAGAGGAAAAACAGGGUGAACAUAGCUGCCCUGGAUGCAAAGCUAUUAAGAGACAGAGACAAGGUUCUGGGUGACUCCAAAAACAUGUUCAAGACCCCUUGAGCUCUCUGUUCCCUUUAUUCAACAGCAACGAAUUCCGAGCACCCUCUGAAUAUCAGGUUUGUGUGAUCAUCCUAACCAGAGAGAUAUAGUCCCUAAACUUCUAAUAGUCUGCAGCUAGUUGUAGAGGCAAAACCUCCAAUGGGUGUCAGGGGAAGCAUGGGGUCUGCCUGGGAUCCAGUUCAGCCAUCACCGCUUGGCCAUGUCGGUAGCACCGCCCUUCAUCUUGGGUCUCUAACCUGUCUAUAACAGCACAGGCCUUGGAAGGAUGCUGGGACCAUUAAAUAGUGAGGCUCCUGACAUGACACCCUGCACAGGGUAAGCUCAAUCUAAGAUGCUACUGUCAUGGUUGUGGAGUCCUGUCCUCCAGGCACGCCAUGGCCACCCCAUCUCAAAAGCAGAGUAGCUGUGACUACCUGGUCAAGUUUGGGAGGUUAACAGUCCCUCCCAAAAGCAGGAAAGGUGUUAUCAGACCCUCAUUGAGAUUCUGGCCACCCAAUACCGACUGCUUCCCCUGCCGGAUUAACCCAGCCACAGCCUUGAGAGUAUAUAGGAGGUGAGAAGUUAACUGAAAGGGGAGAGCCACAAGCCAUUUGUGUGCUUUGUCACCUAUGCUAGAGUGUCCUUUUCCACGACAGGGCUCUGAGAGCUACCCAUGUCUCUAGAAGCAACCUCUCACCCAGUCUCCUGUAAGGAGCCCUAGUAGCAGUCUAGUUGGUUCGCCAAGCUGGACCUGGGUGCAGUCACUUCUCUGGCUUGCCAUUGCCCUCUCUGUCCAGGAUCACCAGGAAAAGUCAGGCGAUAAGCCACCCUAAGACCGAGAGAAACAGGACCUUGGAACACAGAGAACACUGGGGUCUGACUUCAUUUCUGAUGGAAGGGCACAGAAGGCAGGUGACAGGGCUCUUCUGGCCAUUUCAAGUGGUAAGGACUGGUCAGGCAGGAAGUGGCCAGAGUCAGGCAGGUGACAAGUGAGUAGAGGUCAGAAACCGGAAAGGCUGGCUAGGGCUGGCUGGGCUAGAGUGGAGGCCUUGGGUGUCAGCUGGGGGUGGGGGGUAGCUGGACUCCUCAGGGCCCAUCAGAGCUGGGCCAUGGCAGGAGAGUGAGUGAAAGAGCAUCUUAUAGGACCACAUAUGCACACAGCUGUACAGUUCUAUCAGCUGCCAGGCCUCGGGGCGCUUCACCUACUUGGAAGGAUCAGUACAGAGGCAGUGAUUAUGGGGGGCCAGACACCUCUGCUACAAGGUUGUCCUUCUUCCUGACCCUGGCGGGAGAUGCUAUAGGCACCAUCUUGACUGUGGCUUCAGGGACCCUUCUCUCAUCUCUAUGGAGUCGAACCUCCAUGUGAGAAUCCUGGGUCAGAAUCCUGGCCCUGCUCGCCUCUUUUCCUACCCAGGGUAGACUUGUUUCAUUCCUUCUUCCUUCCUCCCAGGCCCUCACCUGGGUGCUCCAGUUUCUCCUGGCAGCCACGAGUGCUUCCCCGGCAUGGUUGUUUUUGAGGCCAAGCCCUCAUAGUCCUUGACAAUACAGCUGCUUCCUCGUCCUAGGGCCUCCCACAGAUGGCCACGCACACUGCUCCAGGUAUAUAAUUGACAGGCCACACCGGUUUGCUCACACCUGUCCUUGGUUCCUCAGCAUCUUCAGGAUCAACACCUAAUCCUUGGAGCCUGCCCACCCCUGUGCCACCACAGCCAGAUCCAGAGCCCAUCUAAAGCAAGUUAAGCCACUUUCCCAUCUUCACGCCCGUCCCCAACAACAUCUUCAUGUGUGCCCACACAUCUGUGCCCCUGGCCAUAUUCAUGACCCAAAUUCAAGGUCCAGUUGACUUCCUUAUUGGGUCACCUAAGCACAGAUUCUGUACCUCGGUUUCCUUAUUUGUAAAUGAGGCAAUGGUUGUGAGUAUUAAGAGAGAAGGAAGAGGAGGAUGUGUGCCCGGUCCCUUCACAGUGCACCGGCAGUGGCUGUGGAUAAGUUCCUUUUUUUUCUGCUCAUGCCCUUUCUGUCUUGGCCUGGAUUGCUUUAGUGAGUUGGGUAGACCUUGGAAAUAGCUACCAAUCUACGAGGGGGCCUGACUCCCAGAACCAUGGAAGGGCCAGGAUCAGAGAGCUAUAUCCUGAGUUCAACACAGGACCCUCAGCAGGCACAUAGCCAUGAGGCCAGGACAAAACAUUAAAGUCAGUCUUGAAUCCAAAUUUGAUCCCACCUCCAAAUCCUCCAUGCCCACCCUGUGUCCGGCAGAAUUCAAGGUAAGGUGGUCAGCUAGGCUAUGUAUGACCUUGGACCCAAUAUGUACAGAGCUCUGCCAAACCUGGUUCCCUAUAUAAAAUGGGGAGAGGGUGUCUGAAGCCCUAGUAAUUUUGGUUGCUCCUGGAGGCCACAGUGAGGCCUGAUGAAGAGGCUGGAGCUUCCAGCUCUUCCCCCUGUUUGUAGGGAGGACUCAGGCGAGUUCCCAGGCUCGCAGCCUCAGGGAGUGACUGAAUAGUGCAGCUGUCCCUUGACCCUCUCAGGGUGUACAGACAGGAAGGGCUGUCUCAAGGGACCGUGCCCAUCACACAGUACCAGGUAAUUCACUCUGCUUUUUAGAGGUGGCAUUUUUGUCACCGUCGGCCUUGUCAUCAGACCACUUUGGUUCCAGAAAAUAAUGUUUUGGGGGCUUCAACUUCAACCCCCAGCUCUCUCCCCUAUGACCUAUGCUAUGGAUGAGACAUCCCUGGCUGCCCAGACAUCUUCAAGGAGAAGCGCCGCAGCCAGCUCACCCUCUUACAGGCUGCUGUGUGCAUAAGAACCUGUGCUUCCCUAGGAAACGGGAUUGCAGAGCGCCAUUUCCCCAGGACAGAAACAUUCAUCCGUCUCUCUGACCAGGAUACCCCUAGGGAUACGAGUGACUCUUUCUUUACAUGGACGGUGAACAGACUUGCUCUGGCUCUCAUUUCUUAGAUCAGGAAGAGGGCUCAGAAAAGCCCACGCCUUUCACCCUGCAGGAAAAGUCAGAGCAAAGAUUUGGGCCCUACCAUCCCCAACCUUACUCUCCCCUCCUGGGGCUGCCUCAUGGCUCUCAUUCCUGUGCCCAGCCUGUCAGGCUCCCAUCCAAGGCUCAGCCCUGAUGCCUUUGUUGGCACUGAGGCACGCCUUAGGAAAGGCUCCAGUGAUCACAUGAGGCCUGGGGAGGGAGGCUCGGAUGAAUCGGAUCCUCUCUCUGGGGGUCAGGAACUUGAGAUGGCUUGGGAGCCGGAUGCUUGAUCAGAGUGACACCCCAGCCACCUGCCCUUGUGGCGUCAGCUGGCACCAACAGACUGUGCCCCUAGUCUGGUCUCGUGCUAAGUGCUCUUGACACAAAAACCAAGCGGGAUGGGUAGGAGACAAUUCUGGAUGAUAAAGGGGAGGCCAGGGAAUGGCCUUCGGAGGCACCAGAGAGGCCGUAUGUGGCCCAAGUUGGACAGGUCCCAAGUCCUGACCCUGACACUCACUAUCACUUAGCUUGUGAGCCUGCCUCCAUUUACUAGAGAAUAAAUCUCAGCAGUCCACACAGCAGGUGCUGUGAAAGAUUAUGCGAGGCAUUACAAGGACAGCUGGGGGCAGCCCUUGGCUCAUGGACCCCAAACUCUUUGGAGAUGGUCUCCUCCCUCUCUUCUCUUCGCUCUGUGGUCCAGGUGCUCAGCAGUAGCUGGGGGUGGGGUGGGGGGCAUGCAUGUGCACUUGUGUGUGUGUAUGCGCACACGCACGCGCGCACACACACACACAGAUUUCUACACAACUAUACAGUAAUUCUACUCAUGCUUAGCCUCAGGUAGGAUGAGGGGUAUUUGGCUUUUUAUGUCAUAUUGUCCCACUUUCUAUGUAAACAUAGUCAUUAGAAUAAACACAGAUGUCCAAAAGUUAUGGUUGCUGACUGUGCCAGCCACAGUUCUCCUCGGCGCUUUGGAUCAAGAACUAUUAACCCUUACAUCACCUUCCCUGGAAAUGUAAUUGGUGACACGAGGAGACUCAGACUACUGAGAUGAUUUGACUGCUGAACUCACGCAGCACACCAGGGUGCAGAGCCCCUGCCCUCCAGCAUCUAUGGCACAGAGCAGUUCUGCGCAGCAGGUCAAGGGGCCAGAGGCUCAGAGGUAGCAAGUCAUUUCCCUAAGGUCACACAGCCAGCAGAUGGCAGGGCCAGGGUGGAACAGCCUGCUGAUGAAGACAAAGCUACUACUAAUCUCUGCACUCUGUAGCCUCCAAGCUUUGGAAUAAAGGUAAAAGCUGCAGGCCUAAUUCUGGGUAGGGGGCCUGGAGACCCCAGAUGUGUAUGAGCCUGGACUCCUCUGCCUUCAAGACCCCGGGGCAAGUCCCCUCCCCCACUCUACCGGUUCUCCAUCUGUCAAGUGUGCUCUGUACCAGAUGAUCUCCAAGGCUUUGGCAGCGUCUCCGUCAUUCCCCAGGAUAGGGGCCUCAGCACAGGCUCCAGCAGCCACCAGCGCUGCUAGAGGGAUGAGCAGACCUUGAGGGUGGAGGUUGCCCCAUCCCCAGCAGCUAAUGAGCCUAGGAGAGGCAGAAGGGGGUGGAGUGUGGCCUGAACCCCACCUCUCAGCAUAGCCUCCCGAAAGGGAGGCAAGUUUCUCUGCCAGCACCUGCCUAAGUCCAAAGGGGUUCAUUGAGGCAAGUCUCUUCCUCAGGUGAGAGAGAUGAGGCUAGCCAGCAGGGUACAGGGGUUCUGGAAAGAUCUUGGGAGGAGGAAGGAUGGCAAUAGGAACUGCUGAUGCUCCCACCCUACACACUUCAGAUAAGGUCUUCCCAGGGCAGCCUCAUCAAAGUCCAGGCAGGAGAGUAGGUAUUUAAAUUCCUGAUUAAAUAUCUUGAGGGACAUAGAACUCACCACUCACAGGUUAGUGACUCUAUUUCUUAUUCUUUUUUUUUUAUAUAUAUAUGAAAAACAUCUUCCACUUUGGAAUCCUCCAGCUGGGGUGAACUUAGACCAAGUUUGGUCAUUCAUUCAUUCAUUCAUUCAUUCAAGUUUUAUUGAUAGGUCCUGUGGGCUAAGCCUGUGCCAGUUUGGGGACAAUAAACAUGCCAGGGAAAAAGCUGUUGCUACCUUGAGGUAUUGUCUAUGACUGGUAUCCCAAAGCCAGGGAAGAGACUGGCUGGGCUGAAACUGCUCAGCUUGAGAAAAGAAGUCAAAGACGCUUGAGCAUCAUUAAAUAGGCUUUAGUGGGUAUCCUCCCACCAAGAUUGUGUAACAGAAUUCCACCAGGUGACUGUGUUACUGAGAAUCCUCUAGUGGGGAGGAUUUGGAAGAUAUGCUGCAUUAUCCGAUUAAAGCGGAUCGUGGAAUGCUUCUCCUUAGAGUCCCACCCCUGAGGCGGCAACAUCACCGUCCUCAGCAGCUAAGAGCUCUUGCUGAGGGCCUGGGUUUGAUUCCCAGCACCCACGGUGGUGACUCACAAUCGUGUGUAACUCCAGGUCCACAGGAUCUGAUGCCCUCCUCUGGCCUCUUGGUGCGCAUGCACAUGGUGCACAUGCAGGCAAGAUACUUGCACACAG